rnacentral:rRNA from 1 species
AUUGAUCUACGGGGGGCAGCAGUGGGGGAUAUUGCACAAUGGGGGAAACCCUGAUGCAGCGACGCCGCGUGAGUGAAGAAGUAUUUCGGUAUGUAAAGCUCUAUCAGCAGGGAAGAAAGAAAUGACGGUACCUGACUAAGAAGCCCCGGCUAACUACGUGCCAGCAGCCGCGGUAAUACGUAGGGGGCAAGCGUUAUCCGGAUUUACUGGGUGUAAAGGGAGCGUAGACGGUUACGCAAGUCUGGAGUGAAAGGCGGGGGCCCAACCCCCGGACUGCUUUGGAAACUG